rnacentral:rRNA from 1 species
UAGGCCUAACACAUGCAAGUCGAGCGAGGACUUCGGUCCUAGCGGCGGACGGGUGAGUAACGCGUGGGAACGUGCCCUUUGCUACGGAAUAGCCCCGGGAAACUGGGAGUAAUACCGUAUGUGCCCUUUGGGGGAAAGAUUUAUCGGCAAAGGAUCGGCCCGCGUUGGAUUAGGUAGUUGGUGGGGUAAUGGCCUACCAAGCCGACGAUCCAUAGCUGGUUUGAGAGGAUGAUCAGCCACACUGGGACUGAGACACGGCCCAGACUCCUACGGGAGGCAGCAGUGGGGAAUCUUAAAAGAUGGGCGCAAGCCCGAUCU